rnacentral:misc_RNA from 1 species
CCAAUAGCGUAUAUUAAAGUUGCUGCAGUUAAAAAGCUCGUAGUUGAAUUUCGGGACUAAUAUGUCGGUCGUGCCUCGGUACGUACUGGUAUUUUUGGUUUCUCCCUUCUGACGAACCUUGAUGUCAUUAAUUUGGUGUCUUGGGAAAUCAGGACUGUUACUUUGAAAAAAUUAGAGUGUUUAAAGCAGGCUCACGCUUGAAUACAUUCGCAUGGAAUAAUGAAAUAGGACGUUUGAUUCUAUUUUGUUGGUUUCUAGGAUCGACGUAAUGAUUAAUAGGGAUAGUUGGGGGCAUUAGUAUUCAAUUGUCAGAGGUGAAAUUCUUGGAUUUAUUGAAGACUAACUACUGCGAAAGCAUUUGCCAAGGAUGUUUUCAUUAAUCAAGAACGAAAGUUAGGGGAUCGAAGACGAUCAGAUACCGUCGUAGUCUUAACCAUAAACUAUGCCGACUAGGGAUCGGAUGAUGUUAAUUUUUUAAUGACUCAUUCGGCGCCUUACG